GACAGCAGUCGCCGCGGUAAUACAGAGGGUGCGAGCGUUAAUCGGAUUUACUGGGCGUAAAGCGUGCGUAGGCGGCUUUUUAAGUCGGAUGUGAAAUCCCUGAGCUUAACUUAGGAAUUGCAUUCGAUACUGGGAAGCUAGAGUAUGGGAGAGGAUGGUAGAAUUCCAGGUGUAGCGGUGAAAUGCGUAGAGAUCUGGAGGAAUACCGAUGGCGAAGGCAGCCAUCUGGCCUAAUACUGACGCUGAGGUACGAAAGCAUGGGGAGCAAACAGGAUUAGAGACCCCGGUAGUCCCUGUCUCUUAUAC
rnacentral:rRNA from 1 species